rnacentral:rRNA from 1 species
GGGUUGUGAGGUUAAGCGACUAAGCGUACACGGUGGAUGCCCUGGCAGUCAGAGGCGAUGAAGGACGUGCUAAUCUGCGAUAAGCGUCGGUAAGGUGAUAUGAACCGUUAUAACCGGCGAUUUCCGAAUGGGGAAACCCAGUGUGUUUCGACACACUAUCAUUAACUGAAUCCAUAGGUUAAUGAGGCGAACCGGGGGAACUGAAACAUCUAAGUACCCCGAGGAAAAGAAAUCAACCGAGAUUCCCCCAGUAGCGGCGAGCGAACGGGGAGCAGCCCAGAGCCUGAAUCAGUGUGUGUGUUAGUGGAAGCGUCUGGAAAGGCGCGCGAUACAGGGUGACAGCCCCGUACACAAAAAUGCACAUGCUGUGAGCUCGAUGAGUAGGGCGGGACACGUGGUAUCCUGUCUGAAUAUGGGGGGACCAUCCUCCAAGGCUAAAUACUCCUGACUGACCGAUAGUGAACCAGUACCGUGAGGGAAAGGCGAAAAGAACCCCGGCGAGGGGAGUGAAAAAGAACCUGAAACCGUGUACGUACAAGCAGUGGGAGCACGCUUCGGCGUGUGACUGCGUACCUUUUGUAUAAUGGGUCAGCGACUUAUAUUCUGUAGCAAGGUUAACCGAAUAGGGGAGCCGAAGGGAAACCGAGUCUUAACUGGGCGUUAAGUUGCAGGGUAUAGACCCGAAACCCGGUGAUCUAGCCAUGGGCAGGUUGAAGGUUGGGUAACACUAACUGGAGGACCGAACCGACUAAUGUUGAAAAAUUAGCGGAUGACUUGUGGCUGGGGGUGAAAGGCCAAUCAAACCGGGAGAUAGCUGGUUCUCCCCGAAAGCUAUUUAGGUAGCGCCUCGUGAAUUCAUCUCCGGGGGUAGAGCACUGUUUCGGCAAGGGGGUCAUCCCGACUUACCAACCCGAUGCAAACUGCGAAUACCGGAGAAUGUUAUCACGGGAGACACACGGCGGGUGCUAACGUCCGUCGUGAAGAGGGAAACAACCCAGACCGCCAGCUAAGGUCCCAAAGUCAUGGUUAAGUGGGAAACGAUGUGGGAAGGCCCAGACAGCCAGGAUGUUGGCUUAGAAGCAGCCAUCAUUUAAAGAAAGCGUAAUAGCUCACUGGUCGAGUCGGCCUGCGCGGAAGAUGUAACGGGGCUAAACCAUGCACCGAAGCUGCGGCAGCGACGCUUAUGCGUUGUUGGGUAGGGGAGCGUUCUGUAAGCCUGUGAAGGUGUGCUGUGAGGCAUGCUGGAGGUAUCAGAAGUGCGAAUGCUGACAUAAGUAACGAUAAAGCGGGUGAAAAGCCCGCUCGCCGGAAGACCAAGGGUUCCUGUCCAACGUUAAUCGGGGCAGGGUGAGUCGACCCCUAAGGCGAGGCCGAAAGGCGUAGUCGAUGGGAAACAGGUUAAUAUUCCUGUACUUGGUGUUACUGCGAAGGGGGGACGGAGAAGGCUAUGUUGACCGGGCGACGGUUGUCCCGGUUUAAGCGUGUAGGCUGGUUUUCCAGGCAAAUCCGGAAAAUCAAGGCUGAGGCGUGAUGACGAGGCACUACGGUGCUGAAGCAACAAAUGCCCUGCUUCCAGGAAAAGCCUCUAAGCAUCAGGUAACAUCAAAUCGUACCCCAAACCGACACAGGUGGUCAGGUAGAGAAUACCAAGGCGCUUGAGAGAACUCGGGUGAAGGAACUAGGCAAAAUGGUGCCGUAACUUCGGGAGAAGGCACGCUGAUAUGUAGGUGAAGCGACUUGCUCGUGGAGCUGAAAUCAGUCGAAGAUACCAGCUGGCUGCAACUGUUUAUUAAAAACACAGCACUGUGCAAACACGAAAGUGGACGUAUACGGUGUGACGCCUGCCCGGUGCCGGAAGGUUAAUUGAUGGGGUCAGCGCAAGCGAAGCUCUUGAUCGAAGCCCCGGUAAACGGCGGCCGUAACUAUAACGGUCCUAAGGUAGCGAAAUUCCUUGUCGGGUAAGUUCCGACCUGCACGAAUGGCGUAAUGAUGGCCAGGCUGUCUCCACCCGAGACUCAGUGAAAUUGAACUCGCUGUGAAGAUGCAGUGUACCCGCGGCAAGACGGAAAGACCCCGUGAACCUUUACUAUAGCUUGACACUGAACAUUGAGCCUUGAUGUGUAGGAUAGGUGGGAGGCUUAGAAGUGUGGACGCCAGUCUGCAUGGAGCCGACCUUGAAAUACCACCCUUUAAUGUUUGAUGUUCUAACGUUGACCCGUAAUCCGGGUUGCGGACAGUGUCUGGUGGGUAGUUUGACUGGGGCGGUCUCCUCCUAAAGAGUAACGGAGGAGCACGAAGGUUGGCUAAUCCUGGUCGGACAUCAGGAGGUUAGUGCAAUGGCAUAAGCCAGCUUGACUGCGAGCGUGACGGCGCGAGCAGGUGCGAAAGCAGGUCAUAGUGAUCCGGUGGUUCUGAAUGGAAGGGCCAUCGCUCAACGGAUAAAAGGUACUCCGGGGAUAACAGGCUGAUACCGCCCAAGAGUUCAUAUCGACGGCGGUGUUUGGCACCUCGAUGUCGGCUCAUCACAUCCUGGGGCUGAAGUAGGUCCCAAGGGUAUGGCUGUUCGCCAUUUAAAGUGGUACGCGAGCUGGGUUUAGAACGUCGUGAGACAGUUCGGUCCCUAUCUGCCGUGGGCGCUGGAGAACUGAGGGGGGCUGCUCCUAGUACGAGAGGACCGGAGUGGACGCAUCACUGGUGUUCGGGUUGUCAUGCCAAUGGCACUGCCCGGUAGCUAAAUGCGGAAGAGAUAAGUGCUGAAAGCAUCUAAGCACGAAACUUGCCCCGAGAUGAGUUCUCCCUGACCCUUUAAGGGUCCUGAAGGAACGUUGAAGACGACGACGUUGAUAGGCCGGGUGUGUAAGCGCAGCGAUGCGUUGAGCUAACCGGUACUAAUGAACCGUGAGGCUUAACCUUACAACGCCGAAG